AGAUUUGUUGAGCGCUUUGAAAAUACAGCAGAUUUUUCACAGAUUAUAAGUAGAAUUACAAUUUAUCAUAGAUCACGAUCCGAUACAAGAUCUUACACGAUACUAUCGCAAUGAUUAGCCACCUUUAGAUAUUCUUUCAUGAUCAUUUUUCUCCAUAUAACGAAUGACAACCAUGGUCAGGUAAUGAAAAUACAAUUAAUUGAAAAACAAUUCUACACAAAUGAAAUUUCAAUAAUUCACACAAUGUUUCAAUAAUGACUUAAAAAUCAUCAAAACUCGUCAAAAUUAGUUUCUCUAAACAUGUUAAAUUAAAGAAGGUAUUUUCAAAAAUCAUUUGUCAUUCAGUUGCAAAUUCUUUCAAUAAAAUAGGGAAAAACUAAAUAGAAAUCAUCUAUAGUCACAAUAUAUGUAUGCUUUAGAUCGCAUUAUUACUACAUUUAAAUUGGCAUAUAACUACAUUUAAAUUGAAAUAUUACUACACUAAAAUUAGAUGAACAUUUCAGUUGGAUGUUCUUUCCCAAAGCCAUUAGCCAUUCGGUCACGAAGUAUUUUGAUUAAUAUGGACAUACAUAAUAGUAAAUAUACAUAGUUAUGAUUCAUCUAUGAUUGUAAUUGAAAUAUAAUACAUAUCACUACAAUCUUAAUUAGUUGGACAUUUAAUUUCGUCGAUAAAAAAUUAGGCACGCUGAUGAGCAAUGUAGAAUAAUUUUGUCUUCAUUUAUAUACCAUGUAGGCACUCAAAAUACAUAAACUAUUUAAAAUAAUAAUAUACGGAUGCGUAAAAUCUUUUGGCUAAUGAACUCAAAAAGAAUAUUAUGCUCCACCCUUAUAAGUGGGUGUCUAUGGGUGCUAAUGCCAAUCUUGAUUAUAAUUAUUUGGGUCAAUGUUUGAUUGAUUUUCAUGUAAACAUGUUGGUUCUAUCAAUCGAACAUAUGGUUCAGGGGGUCCCAGUCUGUCCUACAACUACAAUACACUGACGUCAUAGCAUACACUAUUUUCCUUUGUAUUGAUGUUAGUUACCCGUGUUUUUGAAUUAUUGCCAGAUAAUCGGAAUCCCCUAGUUUUAUCCAUAUAUUGUCAUUAACAAAAAUCCCCAAUAUACCCAAUUUUUCUUUUCAAUAUUUCAUUACAAUAUAGUUUAGAAAUCCAUAUUUGAAAAGGCUAUCAAAUCCUUGUUAUUUUUAUUGUUUUUGAAAAAUGUUGCCAAUGUAUAAUUUAUCAAAAGUCAAGAGAGAAUCAUUUCCCGCCGAAUUUCAUAUGACUUAUAUCUGUAAAACAUGCACACUAACCCUUAAUGAUUUUCUGUUUUUUUUUUUAGUUCCAUGGCACAGAUCGAAAAACGACCAAAGAUACCAACAGUUAACAAAACACAACAUAGAAAAGUUAACCAUGUGUUAACUAUAUUCUGAGCAACACCACAAAAAUUCGUGUAGAUAUAAGGUGUUAUUGAAGGGUAAGCUGGUUUUGUUCCUCAUUUGACAUCCGUAGGUUUGUAUGAGAUUUCCCUUAUUUUCAGUCUCCUAAAUUCUGCUAAAUACAAGUAUUUUAAAAUCUUUAUCGUGUGACUUGCAAUUAUAUUGAGUCCUAGCUUAUUGCUUUCGGUUUUUGUGUUGGGGAUGUGAGUUGUUGGAGGAUCCGAUACCUCUCUGGCCGAGUGUUCAAGGGCAGUUCAUCACUAACCUUAAAAUUCGUAAUUUCAAUCAAGCAGAUUUCUUAAAGCGUCUGACAGUUUUUAAGUUUCCUCGCUUCUUAGAUUUUCAUUGGGGGUAUGAAUAACUCUCGAACUUAAUCUAAUUGAAUAUUCCUGCUAAUUUCAAAAACAAAUAAUUAGAAGCAAUAGAAGUGUACCAUUGUUGUUAUUUCACAAAUAAAUUAAGAAGACAAAAAUACAAUAAAAAAGGGCUAUCGUUUGAACUCCAAAAGGAACCAAAAUAAAUAAGUCGGUAGGAAAUGUUCUCCUGUUGUGCAUAUGUUCCAGACCAUAUGAGUAUUUGGACCCUACGCGUAUGGUCAUAACGAUAUCGGAAUAUACUCAUAUGGUCUGCCCAUACGCGUAUGGUCCGACCGUACGCGUAUGGUCGGGGUAAUUAACAUUCUGUUACAGCUUACUUUUAAUACUUCUAAACUCUCCAUAUGGUAUGACCGUUCAUUAAAAAGACGCUAUCAUAUAGGUAAUUUCAUUAUUAUGUUAUGAUAAAAAGAUUAGGUAAACAAAAAUUAAAAGCUUCACAAAGUUUAUUUUAUAAUAAACACAUUUUAUACCGAUGGUCAUUACCGAAGACCAUUGCCGAUUUGUUAUUACGGAUGAACGGCAAUAUGUCGACGUAAAUAAUUAAAUUCCUAAAUUUUCUAAAUGAACUGUUACUGGAAAGUAACAUAGUUUAUUUUAAAUGUCUUGUGAAUAUGGUGUAUUGCAGUCAUUUUGCGAUAUUUGAGAUCUAGUCAGAGCUUCUUAAAAAAACCGUAGAGAUCAGAAUGGCCAAAGCUCUCGGUAUCACUGUACGCAGCUGCAAAAAGGCUAGCUUUUCACUCCCAAACCAAAAGGUGUAACUGAAAAGGAUCGUGCACUACCAAGACUCUCAAAUGCAAACAAAGUCAUGAUACCGUGUGGUAGUAAAUGUCACCCCAAGCCUGCAUGCAAGAAUGUAACUAUCGAUGAAAACUAACUAUGGCAUCAAUAUUUAAUUUUUACGUAAUUUUCGAAUUAUGAAAUUAACAAAUUGUCAUGUAACCAGCAUUGUUUUUUUUUAAAAGUUUUUGUAAUAUUGGAACGUUUAUAAUGUAAUUUGAAAAAAAUACGUAAAUGGUAAAUACUCAUAUGGUCCGGUCCGUUCAUAACCAAACGAGUAUAAACCUCAUAUGGUCCGAUUUGAAGUGACACAACGGUUUAUCUCCAUUUAAAGUUGUGGGCACAUUAAAUACAAAUUAAAGUUUAAAAAAGAUGAAUGAACCUGCAUUUUUAUCGAAAUAUCUGUUUUUGUAUGGGAGACGAACAAAUGAGUUACUUAUCUCGAGAACAAACUGUAGGACAAUGUAAGUUGCUGGUACAGAUUCAUGUCUACAUUAAUUUUAUAAUGAGCAAAAUACGUGUUCACAAUCAUUGCAUAAGGCACAUAUAGCACAAAAACAUUUAUAUGGUUUAUGUUGAAAUAAUGCAAUGAGUAUGUAUAUUUGAAAUAGUGAUAGUAAACAAGUUACUACUAAUUUAAAACAGGACUUCAUGUUCGUGUAUUUUUCUAUUCAUUUGGUUUAUGCUUCAUUGCCAUACGUAUAUUGUGAUGUUUUGUUUUAUGUUUUUAAUUUAUUAACUCAUCAUAGAUACAAGGAUUGCAUUUUUUUAUUUUAUUUUCGCUACACGCGCGUUUCGUCUAUAAAAGUCUCAUCAGUGACGCUCGAAAAAAGGUAAAAAGUCCAAAAUAAUGUACGAUGUUAAAGUUGAAGGUAUACAACAUACUUCAGACGUUUGAUAAAUUUUGUACAUGCCUUUAUGUUUAUCAUUUCAAGAACUUUUAAUAACAAAUGUUGGCUAGCGACCCUUUAACUUUUAUUGACUUCUCAACUUGUCCGGAGAUGAAUCAGAGCCAUACAUGUUGAACUUUUUAAAACUAUGAUUGUUGACCUCAAGACCUCAAGACCUCAAGACAGAAAGUAGAUUCAUUUCGUAGGCUUUAAGUUGACCUUUUGUGUACCUGACAGAAAUGACAGAAGGAAGUCAUAGUUGUAGAACUGUCAUAGGUUGUAAUGGUAAACACAUGUUGUUAAAUCAAUUCAUGAAUAUUUGCUAUUUUGUCUAUUCAUAAUAUAAAUGUUGACCAAUGGAAAACUAUGUUCAUAUGAGUCCUUUGUUAAUAUUGUUGCCUUUAAAACAAAACUACCGUUUUCCCUACAGGGAGAUGUUCAUAACUGUAGAUUGCCAUGAUCUGGGGGUUCAAAUAGUAUUUAUAAUACUAUUUUUUAUUGAUAAUUUGUAACCUUAAUAACGAUAUACAAAAAUAGAUAACGCUAAGUUCUUAAUGAUUGUAAAUAGCUAAUGGGAAAGAUCAAUUGAGUAGAAAAUAUUUUAAAACGUAUAUUUAUAGAUUUUACCACAAUACACCAGUCUUUAUUAUAUGUAUUAAAACAAAAUAUUUCGCUUUCAUAAUGUCAAACGUGAGCCUUACGUAUUUAUUUUUUUGAAAAUGCAAAGAAUACGAAUCUAACACAUAUUAGCAGGAACAUGAAUCAAACAAAAUAAUCAAUUUAAUAAGGUGACGUAUGAGUUUGGAUACAUUAAGUAAAAACAAAAAAAAAAACGAACAAUCGUAACAACAUGAAAGUGAAGUAGAAACUAAUAACAAAAAUUUAUACAGCUAAUUAUAUUUCAAAUAUUUAUAAUUUGUUAAAGAUAUGACUAUAAUACUAAAAACCGCUCAACAAAAUUUCUCCACUGAGUUUCAAAUGACAAUAUUAAUGAAAUAACAAGUUGUUAAACCUAUUUUGCUAUAAAUCAUUAUAAUUUGCCAAUAUUGUAGUUUUCAAUAUAUUCAUUAUUCAUCAGAUGUUUCAAAUUGGUUUGGCCUUUCCUCUUUACUUUCUAAUAAAUGUGCGAAAAGUAAAAAAAGAGCAAUAUAGUUACAAUAUAGUUAUGCAACACAAGGGACAUCUGAUAAUAUAACAAUGAAGUAAAACAUUUUAAUUUAAACAGAAAUUUGUCAUUUAUUGAAAAUAAGGUAAUUUGUCUGUCGGAACUUAAUGCACUGUACAAUCCAUCAGUGUUUCAUAAUCUCAAAGUUUCUUCAGAACUGGUUGGAAAACUUCUUUUUCUACAGGCUUUUAAAAUAUCUGAUCAUUUUUUUUAUAGCUUAUUAUAACUAAUUAUAAGAAGAUGUGGUAUGAUUGCCAAUGCGACAACUCUGCACAAAAGAUCAAACGACAUACAAAUAUUAACAGCUUUUGUUCUGCAGUUAUGCAACACAAGGGGCAUCUGAUAAUAUAACAAUGAAGUAAAACAUUUUAAUUUAAACAGAAAUUUGUCAUUUAUUGAAAAAGUAAUUGUCUGUCGAACUUAUGCACUGUACAAUCCAUCAGUGUUUCAUAAUCUCAAAGUUUCUUCAGAACUAGUUUGAAAACUUCUUUUUCUACAGGCUUCUUAAAAUAUCUGAUCAAUUUUUUUUAUAUUUAUUAUAACUAAUUAUAAGAAGAUGUGGUAUGAUUGCCAAUGAGACAACUCUGCACAAAAGAUCAAAUGACAUAGAAAUAUUAACAGCUUUUGUUCACAAAGAUUAUUUGGAGCUUUAUAUAUUAGUUUAUACGUUAGUCCGUAGAGAGUUUUGUCUUUCACUUUCCUCGAUUUGAUUGUACAGUUAUUAAAUUGGCAAAAAGUUAUGUAGAUCCAUUCCUUGUUAAAAACAAGUAUUUUAGAAUACUAAAGUAAGGACUAGAGAAGUCUGAUACCUUUAUCAAAGAGGGGCGAAAGAUACCAGAAGGACAGUGAAACUCAAAGACAGAAAAUGAACUGACAACGACAUGGCUAAAAUUGAAAAAGACAAAAGAAAAAUAAUGGUACACAUAGAUUAACACAGAAAACUUAGGAAUAAUUAACAGGAACUCCCCUUCACCCCCCAAAAAAAUGGGGGUGAUUUCAGGUGCUCCGGAAGCGUAAGCAGAUCAUGCCCCUCAUGUGUCACGCAUCGUGUUACUCAUGUUACAAAUCCGGUAAAUAAUCUGAUUCGGUAGGUCACAUUCAUGAAAAGGGAAGGGGAUUGUAGUUACAACGUAUAAGGAACAUAUCCUAUAGCAUCUUUGAAACGGUUAUUUCAUAACGGUCAACCAACUUGUGAUGGCGUCCGUAAAUUUACAAAGGGAUGAUUUCAACUUCACCAUUCAGAACUCUUGAUUUAAUAGCUUCCUUGUGAGCAGCAAUCAUCUAUUAAGGAAAUCAUGAUAGGAAAUACAAGCAAUGAAAUAUAGCAUGCAGGAGGAACUCGACUUUGAUUUUAUGUACUCUAACAGAUCUUAUCAAAAAGUAAUGUUUUACCGUAAUAUUGAAACCCGGUUUGAUUGCUGAUACAAUUGGUAUUAUAAUUUUAAAAGAGGCUUCGUUAAGCUUUUGACAAAGUUAAUCUUAAAAGUCUGAUAAACAAAAUAAAAGCUCAUGGUACUAAUGAAAGCUUUUAUUAUUGGUUUACAGAUUGAUAGAAAAGGGAUCCGGAGAGCAUAAAUGGAUGGAGAGUUGUCUCAUUUGCACUCACACCACAUCUUCUAUAUAUUUGUAAUGCAAGAAAAUAAUUCGUCUCUUCGAGAUAUUUCAGCUGGUGUUCAGCAAGAAUCCGUACCGGACCAUCUGUGAUUUGGAUAUUAAUUAUUUACGCGAUACAUCACUGCGUAUGCGUUUUACUAGUGACACGUCUCCACAUAGUAAUUAUUGUAACGAAUGAGAACAUAAAAUAAAAUAAAACUCCGUAGUAAUUUUCCGUAGAGGAAAAUUGAACCUCUCCUAUGUCGAAAAUUGAACCCAAUGAUAAUUUUUUGACUCUUCAAUAAGUUAUCUAGGUUACAAAAUGAAAUAUAAUAUAAUGAAAUACGCAUUUUGCAAAUGCUUCU
rnacentral:lncRNA from 1 species